rnacentral:rRNA from 1 species
UGUGAAGAAGGCCUUCGGGUUGUAAAGCACUUUUGUCCGGAAAGAAAUCGCGCUGGCUAAUACCUGGCGUGGAUGACGGUACCGGAAGAAUAAGCACCGGCUAACUACGUGCCAGCAGCCGCGGUAAUACGUAGGGUGCGAGCGUUAAUCGGAAUUACUGGGCGUAAAGCGUGCGCAGGCGGUUUUGUAAGACAGGCGUGAAAUCCCCGAGCUCAACUUGGGAAUGGCGCUUGUGACUGCACGGCUAGAGUAUGUCAGAGGGGGGUAGAAUUCCACGUGUAGCAGUGAAAUGCGUAGAGAUGUGGAGGAAUACCGAUGGCGAAGGCAGCCCCCUGGGACGUCACUGACGCUCAUGCACGAAAGCGUGGGGAGCAAACAGGAUUAGAUACCCUGGUAGUCCACGCCCUAAACGAUGUCAACUAGUUGUUGGGGAUUCAUUUCCUCAGUAACGUAGCUAACGCGUGAAGUUGACCGCCUGGGGAGUACGGUCGCAAGAUUAAAACUCAAAUGAAUUGACGGA